rnacentral:rRNA from 1 species
GAUGAACGCUGGCGGCGUGCCUAAUACAUGCAAGUCGAGCGAACAGACGAGGAGCUUGCUCCUCUGACGUUAGCGGCGGACGGGUGAGUAACACGUGGAUAACCUACCUAUAAGACUGGGAUAACUUCGGGAAACCGGAGCUAAUACCGGAUAACAUGUUGAACCGCAUGGUUCAACAGUGAAAGACGGUCUUGCUGUCACUUAUAGAUGGAUCCGCGUCGCAUUAGCUAGUUGGUAAGGUAACGGCUUACCAAGGCAACGAUGCGUAGCCGACCUGAGAGGGUGAUCGGCCACACUGGAACUGAGACACGGUCCAGACUCCUACGGGAGGCCGCAGUAGGGAAUCUUCCGCAAUGGGCGAAAGCCUGACGGAGCAACGCCGCGUGAGUGAAGAAGGUCUUCCGAUCCUAAAACUCUGUUAUUAGGGAAGAACAAAUGUGUAAGUAACUAUGCACGUCUUGACGGUACCUAAUCAGAAAGCCCCGGCUAACUAAGUG